UCUUCCUGGCUUCCAGACAGCCACCAUCCUGCAGUGCCCUACAUGGUAGAGAGAGAGCUCUACGGUCCCUUCCUCUUCUUAUAAGGACACCAGUUGUGUCUGGUCAGGAUUCAGUCCUUGCAACCUUAUUUGACCUUCAUCACAUCCUUAAAGGCUCUAUCUCCAAUACAGUCACAUGGUGGGGGGCUGGUGAUAAGGCUUCAACAUAAGAAUUUUCGGGGUCGGAGGGACACAAUGAAAAGCACAGAAUAUAAGUUCCAAAAAGUCACGGGCUUUGUAGGUUUCGUUCAGUGACAAAAUUCCCAUCUCAUAUUACAGCCCCCAGCACAAAGGAAGGAAAUACUAAAUAAAUAAUGGUUGAAUUGAAUUAAAGUGGAGAAGGGACAUGAUCUGAUUUAUAAUUUUAGAAGAUGGAUUGGAUGGCAACAAGCUUGCAAACAAGCAAAAAAACGUAUUAGAAGGCUAUUGAUAGGCGGAGGGAGGGGACGCGGGCUCAUUGCUGUGUGUGCCCUGCAGUCUGUCCCUCACUCGCCACUGACGGCCUGUCUCGUCGCCUGCAAGCCGUGCCGCCGCCCCACAGAAACGUUUCGAUUACCUGCAGUCCUUCGCCAGAUGAGGCCAGUGUCCAGGGCACUGGCUUCUCAUCUCACUCGGGCUUAUGCCAAAGAUGUAAACUUUGGUGCGGAUGCCUGAGCCUUAAUGCUUCAAGGUGUAGACCUUUUAGUUGAUGCUGUAGCCGUUACUAUGGAGCCAAAGGGAAGGACAGUGAUUAUUGAACAGAGUUGGGGAAGUCCCAGAGUGACAAAAGAUGGUGUGACUGUUGCAACGUCCAUUGACUUAAAAGAUAAAUAUAAAAAUAUUGGCGCUAAACUUGUUCAAGAUGUUGCCAAUAACACAAACGAAGAGGCUGGGGAUGGCACCACUACUGCUACUGUACUGGCUCUAUCGCCAAGGAAGCCUUCGAGAAGCUUAGCAAAGGUGCUAAUCCAGUGGAAAUCAGGAGAGGUGUGAUGUUAGCUGUUGAUGCUAUAAUUACUGAACUUAAGAAGCAGUCUAAACCUGUGGCAACCCCAGAAGAGAUAGCCCAGGUUACUACGAUACCUGCAAAUGGAGACAACGAAAUUGGCAACAUCCUUUCUGAUGCGAUGAAAAAGGUUGGAAGAAAGUGUGUUAUCACAGUAAAGGAUGGAGAAACACUGAAUGACGAAAUUAGAAAUUAUUGAAGGCAUGAAGUUUGAUAGAGGGUGUAUCUCUGCAUACUUUAUUAAUACAUCAAAAGGUCAGAACUGUGAAUUCCAAGAUGCCUAUGUUCUGUUGAGUGAAAAGAAAAUUUUGGUGUCCAGUCCAUUGUUCCUGCUCUUGAAAUUGCCAACGCUCACCAUAAGCCCUGGGUCAUAAUUGCUGGAGAUGUGGAUGGAGAAGCUCCGAGUACACUUGUUUCGAAUAGGCUGAAAGUUGAUCUUCGGGUUGUAGCAGUCAAAGCUCCAGGUUUUGGUGACAACAGAAAGAACCAGCUUAAAGACAUGGCUAUUGCUACUGGUGGUACAGCAUUUGGAGAAGAAGGGCUAACUCUAAAUCUUGAAGAUGAUGCCAUGCUCUUGAAAGGAAAAGGUGACGAGGCUCAAAUUGAAAAGCGUAUUCAAGAAAUCAUCGAGCGGUUAGAUAUUACAGCUAGUGAAUAUGAAAAGGAAAAACUGAAUGAACGUCUGGCAAAACUCUCAGAUGGUGUUGCUGUGCUAAAGGUUGGUGGGACAAGUGACGUUGAAGUGAAUGGAAAGAAAGACAGAGUUACAGAUGCCCUUAAUGCUACGUGAGCUGCUGUUGAAGAAGGCAUUGUUUUGGGAAGGGGCUGUGCCCUGCUUCAGUGCCUUCCAGCCUUGGAUUCAAAACUCCAGCUAAUUAAGAUCAAAACAUUAGUAUAGAAAUUAUUUUUAAAAACACUCAAAAUUCCUGCAAUGACCAUUGCUAAGAAUGCAGGUGUUGAAGUUGAGAAAAUUUUGCAGAGUUCUUCAGAAGUUGGUUAUGACGCUAUGCUUGGAGAUUUUGUGAAUAUGGUGGAAAAAGGAAUCACCGAUCCAACUAAGGUUGUAAGAAGUGCAUUACUGGAUGCUGCUGGAGUGGCCUCUCUGUUAACUAUGGUAGAAGUCGUAGUCACAGAAAUUCCUAAAGAAGAGAAAAGAAGAGAAGGAUCCUGGAAUGGGCGGAAUGGGGGGGAUGGGAGGUGGGAUGGGAGGCGGCAUGUCCUAAUUCCUAGAAUAGUGCUUUACCAUCAUUAAUGAGAUGUGAAAGGAAGCUCAAGGCAGCGUUCCUCACCAAUAACUUUAAGAGAGGUCAGUUGAAGGAGAUGACUGAAGAAAAGGCUGGCUGAUGUUUAAGAAAAUCACUAUAACCAUCAGUUACUGGUUUCAGUUGACAACAUAGAAUGGUUUACUGCUGUCAUUGUCCAUACCUACAGGUAAUUUAUUUUGUAUUUUUGAAUAAGGACAUUUGUACAUUCCUGGUUUAAAAAAAAAUGAAGGCUAUUGAUAGAGUUGUCCACACAAAAAUAAUUGGAGCAGAAUGUUGUCUGUGCAUAUUGAAGAUGUGAUUAAAUUUAAGCUAUAUUUAGGAGGUAGAACUGACUGCAUUUGCUGAUGCAUUACUGGCUGUGAAGGGGGAGGAUGAGGACGUAAUUACAGAUGAGUUACAUAAUUAUUUAUGUAGGUUUCAGGCGUGGGCUAUUAGACGGAUGAGGGGAAGAUGAAGGGACAUCUGGGGAGGCAGGGAAGGAAAUCAUGAACUUGGUUUUGGACAAGGUAAGCUUGCGUGCCUGAGAGGCACACACGUGGAGGUGACAUGUAGGCAGGUGGAUAUAUAAAUCUCAAGCUCAGCAGAAUGUGGUGUUUCCUCCUGCCCUGAAAAGUUCUUAUUACUGCGGUGGUGAAUCUUAUCAUCAGUGGAAUCUUAAACUGGUAAUAGUUAUACCUCACACUUAGUGGGCUCUGAACUUGGGCUAGGUGUUGAAAUUCUCUCAUUUGAUCCUCACAUCUACUUUUGCAAUGUGUCAUUUUUGUGACACGUUGCACAGACAAGAAAACUCAAUAUUAGAAAGUGAAAUGAAAUGUCUGAAGUCACCAAUCUAGCAAAUGGGAAAUGUAGGAUUUGACAGCAAGACUGUUUAACCCCU